UAUUUGAUUACUUGAAUGAAAUUAUGUUA
rnacentral:piRNA from 1 species